AUUAACCACACCCUGCAGGCUGAGGCGGGCAGGCUGAGGCGGGCAGGCUGGGGGCUGAGGAGACGCUCCUUCCCUGCAUUCCAUGGACAUGGUGCCUUGGGCCAGGCUGCAGAGGCCGCAGGGCCUGGCAUGUGCCCCGUGAAACUGGCCCUGCAGUGAGGCGGGGGCAGUGGGGAUGGAUGAACUCAUUCUUUCCUCGUCUGAGGCUGCUCUGAUCGUAAAACCGUGGACGCUGAGCAAAUGGCCCCAGAUGGGGAAACUGAGACCCAAAAUGAAGGGCGCAGUCGCCGAGUCAGCCAGUGACAGAGCUGGGGCUUCACUCCCGCUUCUCGAUUCUCAGCUCCCAUCCUCGUCCCUCUGCCUUUUAUGGAGCAGCAUGGAAGGAAUCAAAAACAGGCAGAGAACUUCAGGGGCCACUCUGGGCUGCUGUGAGUGAAGACUAGAGUUUGUGGGUGCAGUGCCUCCGGCUGCAGCUCUCCAGGCCCACACAGACCUGCUCCUGACACUCCUGGGGGUGCGCUGCCUGGGGGUCUUCCCUCCCCAGCCCUUCCCCAAGGUACAGUGAGUGCCUCAGGUCCUCCAGCUGCCCCUCUCCCAGUGGGAACUCACACUAGACAUGCGAGGGCAGUCAAGGAGAGCGCUUUCCUCGCUCGAGGAUAUGGGAGAGCUUUCCACCCUCCUCCUCAGGCCCCGGAGGCAGCGAGUGUGCCUGUCAGGGUUAUCAGGGUGCUCUGGGAAGGGCUCCACCUCCCCCGCAGGCUUCGCCAGAAUGCCCAACUGGGCUGCUCUCACUGCCUUUGACCUUCAGAACUCCCAAAAUACUCCCACCUCCUCCAGGAAGAAGGCGGGGUAGUGGGGGCUUUGGAGACCAAUAAGCCAGGGCCUGACUCCUAACUGGCCACCUAAUAGCUUUGUGACCUUGAGCAAGUGCCCUGGUCUUCCUGAGGGCGUGUUCUCAAGCUUCUCCGUUGUGUGGUUUUAGUGAGGGCUGGAGAUGGCGACACGUAGUAGACUCUCAAUUCAUGGUGGCUCUUAUUAUUAAAGCUGGCCAGGAUGUCCCUUCUGACCCCCAACCCUCCAGUUCCCAUAGUGCUGGGCCUUGUAACUGUCACUGUCCUGUGUAUGGGGUCAGGCUCUGGCCUCCCUCCCUCGCAACCCCUUCGGGGCAGGGUGAGAGUAAACAGGUCCCCUAGGUGUGGGACAGACGCCCGCUGCCCUCCUCCUGCCUUAUUCAUUCUCUCCAAAAACAUUAAUCACUGGUGGAUGGACAAACUGUAGGGCACCCGUAUGAUGGAAUGACCCCAGCAAUAAGGAAGAACAAAAUAGUAAUACAAUGAAUGACAUGGAUGACUCUCAAGGCACUGCGCUGAAGUUCAGCAGUUAAAUGAAAGCCGCCUAACUCAAAAGGCUGCAGACUCCGCCGCUCCCUGCGUCUGAACUCCAGGGAGGGCCACGCUGCAGCCAGAAAGCAGAUGUUCCUUGGCCCCAAGCAAAUUAUCUCCCUGCUCUUCCAUGUAGGGACUAGAGGGUCCUGCACUCCUCAGGCCACCCAGGAACCAGUUCCCCCUUGCCCCACUAGCCUAACAUGUGAAUAGCCAAGAGGGACCACUCAAAGGACAGUUUCCUGAACAAAGAAGACCUGUUCUUAACCAGCUGGAUAAAGAAGGAGCUGAUGGCAACUUUUAUUAAAAAGAAAGAAAAGUUCCGAACCAGGAAACUUGCCAUACACCCAUUCGCCAGAUGACAACAUUGAGAUUACUCACUUCUUGAAAGAGCCCAGCCUCUAGCACUGGACAUUUAUCACAAAGCAUUUCCUUCUUGCGUUGGGCAUUCCUCUCUUGCUAGGAGGAACUGAGACUUCCCGUCCCCAGUCCCAGCCCUGAGGCCAUGCAGCCUAGGGGUGGCUGGAUUGAGCACUGCUUACUGGAUUCAGGCCAGAGACUGCCACAUUUUGUCCUCUGCUGCCUGGGUUAGGGAGACCUCUCCCUGUCAACUCAGGGGCAUGGCAGGAGCGGGGCUGGAACAGUCUCUGCAGUCAGUUCCCUCCUGGACCACCGACGCUGGGAAUGCAAGGGGUGGGUAGUUUGGUCUGUGCUUAUGUGUUGAUAUUGUGAGAUCAUUUGAGAGAAUUAAAUAUAUUUUCCCAGAUGGAAAGAAAAGGAAAAGGAAGGGGAUGUUGAGUGUGGGAGCUGUUCAUUCUUUCCAGCUUCUCUCCUUUCCCGCCAUCCCACCCCACCUGUGGACCUGUGUUUGGCAUUAGGGCACUCCUCUGUGCUUUGCUGGAUUCUGAUAGGGAGCACAGCCUGGUGUGGGGGGUGGGAGGACGGAUGGUCUGCAUCUUCCCUUCCCCUGCUCCAGUCCUUAGGCCAGUGCUUUCUGCACUGGGGGGUCAGGGGACAUUGAAGGUGCCAGUCCAAAUGCCAGUCAACACUGUGGGCAGGCCUGGCCAACACUGUCUGUGGAUGCCAGACUCUGGGAAGAGAAGCACCCACGCUCAGAGAUGGCCCACUCUCACUGGGCUCACAGCCAAACACACCCAGUUUUCUGGCCUCGGGCUGGGUGGGACAAGUGUAUAUCUCACCUGACAAGCCCUGUGAGCCUGACAAAUGGAGGGAAAAAGCCACGACAGCAGCACCUCCCAGUGAUCCGGAAGCUGGAGGAGGAGCAAGAGGACACAGGGUCUCUCCAAAAGGCAGAAGUGCGGGGGAGUGGCCUGGACAUUGUAGAGCUGGGACAGCCAAGUCCCAGGGCAAGGGCACCAGGGGACAUGGAGGAGUCCUUCCCUUGGGCCUCUCCAGAGAGGCUGCCUGGAGUUUUCACAGUUCACAAAUGAGCAGAGGAAAUUGUCCAUGCGAACAGCCCUUAGGGGAUCUCCCAGAGAGGUGUCUCGGGUGCUAGGGGAAGCCCAAACACCCCACUUCAGUUUUCACGUAGGAGGAGGAGAAGGCAAUGACUUGUCUUGAAGCAGCCGCUGCCCAGCAAGCACACGAUUUUUAUUUAAAUUGAAGGUUUAUUUGGAGUGGGCUUGGGGGAGUACUUCUCAUGCACACACUUUUUCUGUCUCCUCAUUUCCCCAGCCCAAUCCUCCCCACAUUCCUCUGCCUUCCCGCCUCCCAUUUUAUUAGGUGUCAGUUGUCUGCUCCAAACCUUCAGUAGCUCCCAUUUGUGAUAAGGUGAAGUCCAAAUCCCAUAGCCUGCAUUCAAGUUCUUCCACGGUUAGGGUGGACAUACACCCCACUUUGUUUUGGAUGAUCUAGUUUAUAUCUGCUGUCUUGGCAUAAUAAUUCAUAGCACCCUGCUUCAUGCAAAAAUGUAUCCCAGUUUGGAGAAUAAAUGAUGUGGUCCACCCGUGUACAGUCCACUCCCAACCUCAUGCUCCAGGCUAAUGGCCAACUGUCUCUCUUGAAUCCUCUGAGUCAGUGGUUUUGAACUCUGGUUGCUCAUUAGAAUCACCUGGGGAGCUUUUAAUAAAUAUCACUACUUAGACUCACCCCCAAAACAGGUCAAAUAAAACAGAAUCUCUAGGGGCAGGACCCAGCCUUUGGUAUUUUUUUAAGCAUCCAGAUGACUCUGAUGUGCAGCCAGGGUGGAGAACAACUGACCUCAGUAAAACAGGUGUCCUGGAACUCUGUCCCUGAGCCCAUCUUACACAUUUCUGUCCCUAGUUUUUGGUAACUUGCUCCCAUUGUCUAUCCGCCAUUUAACUCUUUCUUUUCCUCUGUGUGUGGUCUUUCAUUCAUUCUUUAAGUCCUACCCAAGCUGCUAAGCCUAGCUCCAAUGCUGCCUCCUCCUACAUCUUUCCUGACCUCUUAGCCAGAAAGGGUCUUCCUCUCUACCCACUACUGCCCCCUCCCUCCCCCACUAUUGAAUGUCAUCUAUGAUCCACGCCCUGUUUUGCCUUCUUCACAGUCUAUGAGCUCCAUGGCAUGGGUCAUGUCUGAUUAAUCUCUGGAGACCCCAGGGCCCAGACCCAACUUACAGUAAAGCCUCUCACACCUGAGUGAGUGACUAUCACUGCUGGUCCUGAACUUGGGCAGCGUCAUCCACCCCGACACGGGGCACCAGCACAUGCUGCCUCUACAAGUUAAGUUUCUUUUCCUGUGUGCGGGCUUUCAUUCAUUCAUUCACUCACUCAUUCUGCUUUGUGCCAGGCGCUGUGUUCUCCAUCACCUCUUCUUGAUUUCCUGUACUAUUGGAGAACUGUCCUUUCUCUCUCAUGUCCAUCCCCUGGACAGCCCUGCAGACUGUCUUGCAUAUAAACGGUACUCAGUAUUGAUUGAUAAUCAACUGACGAAUAGAUAAACAAAAGUGGUGUGUCCUUACAAUGAAAUAUUAUUCAGCCAUGAAAAGGAAAUGAAGUACUGAUACAUGCUACAAUAUGAAUAACCCUAAAAACAUUAUUCUAAGUGAAAGAAGCCAGGAACAAAAGACCACAUAAACUGUAUGCUAUCAUUUACAUGCAAAGUACAGAAUAGACAAAUCCAUAGAGACAAAAAGUAGAUUAGUGGUUGCCAAGGGCUAGAAGAAGGGGGAAAUUAAGAUUAACUUUUGUUUUGUUUUGAGACAGAGUCUUGCUCUGUCGCCCAGGCUGGAGUGCAGUGGCCUGAUCUUGGAUCACUGCAACCUCCGCCUCCCAGGUUCAAGCAAUUCUCCUGCCUCAGCCCCCUGAGUAGCUGGGAUUACAGGUGUGUGCCACCAUGCCUGGCUAAUUUUUUUUUUUUUUUUGUAUUUUUAGUAAAGACAGGGUUUCGCCAUGUUGGUCAGGCUGGUCUCAAACUCCUGACCUCAAGUGAUCCGCCCACCUCAGCCUCCCAAAUUGUUGGGAUUAUAGGCGUGAGCCACAGCUCCUGGCCAGGACUAGCUGUUAAUA
rnacentral:lncRNA from 1 species